CGCCAGAUCCUACGGGAGGCAGCAGUGGGGAAUAUUGGGCAAUGGGCGCAAGCCUGACCCAGCAACGCCGCGUGAAGGAAGAAGGCUUUCGGGUUGUAAACUUCUUUUCUCAGGGACGAAGCAAGUGAUGGUACCUGAGGAAUAAGCCACGGCUAACUACGUGCCAGCAGCCGCGGUAAUACGUAGGUGGCAGGCGUUAUCCGGAUUUACUGGGUGUAAAGGGCGUGUAGGCGGGAAAGCAAGUCAGAUGUGAAAACCAUGGGCUCAACCUGUGGCCUGCAUUUGAAACUGUUUUUCUUGAGUACUGGAGAGGCAGACGGAAUUCCUAGUGUAGCGGUGAAAUGCGUAGAUAUUAGGAGGAACACCGGCGGCGAAGGCGGCCUGCUGGACCGUGACUGACGUUGAGGCUCGAGAGCGUGGGGAGCAAACAGGAUUAGAUACCCGCGUACC
rnacentral:rRNA from 1 species